rnacentral:lncRNA from 1 species
AUUUCGGCUCCUUGUCGUUGUUCCUCAUCUCCCUCCGAUAUGUGGAACUAUCUUUAGAUUAAGGUCCUUUUCUCUCUCUCGAAAGAAUUCUCUUCAACUGAUGCUCAGACAAAGAUUCUCUUACCGAGCCAACGACAACUACUACGUGCCUGUUUGGUAUGGCUUAUUUAAGAACCAUAAGUACUUAUUUAAUUCUAUAAGCACUUUUUAAAAUUUUUUAUGGUGUUUGGUUAUUUUUUUAAUAGAAUUUUUUUAGCUUAAAUAAGCUAAUUUACCUCUACUAGCAAAAGCCUAAAAUUUGAGCUUUUGGGAGUAGAGAUUAGAGAGUUUUUCUAAAAAAUAUAUAAUAUCAAAAAUAUCCUUGACAUAUUUCAUUAAUUACAUAAUACCCUUUGUAUAAAAGCUACCCAACGAAAAUUGUUGCCGCCAUAUAAACAUAUUGCUGCCACCACUUCACUCUAUCUCUUUUUAUUUUUUUUAAAUAACCAGCACUUUAAUUUUGCAAUCUCUAAUACAUAACCAACACUUGAGAGAGUAAUCAUAGUCAUAGCCAACGUUUUUGGUGAGGAGGAUGUCAGGUAAUACGACACUUCUUAUGUUUCGUUAACAUUUCAGUUAUAUUAUUGAUUAUCAUUUUAAUUUGGAUAGUAUUAUUUGUUUAGGAGAAUAUAUCAAUUAUGAAAUUUUUAAUUUUGAAAAUUAAAGAAAUGAUUGAACUUAUUUUUUCUUAUUAAUUGAUAGCUUGGCUGCAUUUUGUUACAUGUUAAAUAAUUAUGAAUAUAUAUCCUUUUUGGUAAUUUAAUUACACAAAAGUACUUUUAAUUUUACACAACCAAACCGUUUAAUGGUUUAAAAGUGCUUUUUUAAUUGACAACCAAACACCCAAUGACUUUUUGUCCAAAAACUCUAUUGGUAUAAGCUCUACUUCUAUAAAGUCUACUGCUAUAAGCUCUAUUUAAUAAGUUGUACCAAACAUAGCCUACAACAACAAUAUGAUGCCGUAAGUAGCUUAUCCACUCUCCAUCCCUCGGUGCCCCGUACCCGACUCGAAAUCAAAUUACUGCCCGAUAAUCGGUAACGUUAAUCAUCCAGGCGAUGGCGCUUCGGGGAGAUUAAAUAACACAACGAAUGCAUCGUACAUC